rnacentral:rRNA from 1 species
CCCUUAGAUGUCCUGGGCCGCACGCGCGCUACACUGAGUGUCUGAGAUACGAGUCUGCCUGGUCCGGCAAGGUCUAGGUAAUCGCUAAAAGACACAUCAUGCUUGGGAUAGAUUAUUGCAAAUAUUAAUCUUGAACGAGGAAUUCCUAGUAAGAGCAAGUCAACAGCUUGCGUUGAUUACGUCCCUGCCCUUUGUACACACCGCCCGUCGCUACUACUGAUUGGAUGUUUAAGCGAGGUUCUCGAACUGCUAGCGACUUAGCUUCGGUGAGGUCGCAGUGUGGGAAGUGAACCUAGCUUUGGUGUCUAGAGGAAGUAAAAGUCGUAACA